GGUAUUUUAACCGUGCGAAGGUAGCGUAAUCACUUGUCUCUUAAAUGGGGACCUGUAUGAAUGGCAUAACGAGGGCUUAACUGUCUCCUUUUUCAGGUCAAUGAAAUUGAUCUCCCCGUGCAGAAGCGGGGAUAAACACAUAAGACGAGAAGACCCUAUGGAGCUUUAGACACUAAGAUAGAUCAUGUUAAACACUCCCUGACAAAGGAAAUAAACCAAAUGAUCCCCUUUCCCAAUGUCUUCGGUUGGGGCGACCACGGAGAAACACAGAACCCCCGUGCAGAACGAAAGCACUGCUUUCACAACUAAGAGCUCCCGCUCUAAUAAACAGAAAUUCUGACUACAUGAUCCGGCACCGCCGAUCAACGAACCAAGUUACCCUAGGGAUAACAGCGCAAUCCUCUUCUAGAGUCCAUAUCGACAAGAGGGUUUACGACCUCGAUGUUGGAUCAGGACAUCCUAAUGGUGCAGCCGCUAUUAAGGGUUCGUUUGUU
rnacentral:rRNA from 1 species